rnacentral:rRNA from 1 species
UCGGGAAUAUUGCGCAAUGGAGGAAACUCUGACGCAGUGACGCCGCGUAUAGGAAGAAGUUUUUCGGAAUGUAAACUAUUGUCGUUAGGGAAGAGAAAGGACAGUACCUAAGGAGGAAGCUCCGGCUAACUACGUGCCAGCAGCCGCGGUAAUACGUAGGGAGCGAGCGUUAUCCGGAAUUAUUGGGUGUAAAGGGUGCGUAGACGGGAAAACAAGUUAGUUGUGAAAUCCCUCGGCUUAACUGAGGAACUGCAACUAAAACUAUUUUUCUUGAGUGCAGGAGAGGUAAGUGGAAUUCCUAGUGUAGCGGUGAAAUGCGUAGAUAUUAGGAGGAACACCAGUGGCGAAGGCGACUUACUGGACUGUAACUGACGUUGAGGCACGAAAGUGUGGGGAGCAAACAGG